AUUGAACGCUAGCGGCAGGCCUAACACAUGCAAGUCGAACGAGUGGCGGACGGGUGAGUAAUGUAUGGGAAACUGCCCGAUGGAGGGGGAUAACUACUGGAAACGGUAGCUAAUACCGCAUACCAUCAGAGCUGCCCAUAUGGGAUUAGCUAGUUGGUGGGGUAACGGCUAACCAAGGCGACGAUCCCUAGCUGGUCUGAGAGGAUGACCAGCAACACUGGGACUGAGACACGGACCAGACUCCUACGGGAGGCAGCAGUGGGGAAUAGUGCACAAGGGGCGCAACCCUGAUCCAGCCAUGCCGCGUGUAUGAAGAAGGCCUUCGGGGUGUAAAGUACUUUGAGUAGGGAGGCGUUACCUGCAGAAGAAGCACCGGCUAACUCCGUGCCAGCCGCCGCGGUAAUAC
rnacentral:rRNA from 1 species